rnacentral:rRNA from 1 species
CCCCUAGAUGUUCUGGGCCGCACGCGCGCUACACUGAACAGUUCAACAAGUCUUAACCUUGGCCGACAGGCUCGGGCAAUCUUUGAACGCUGGUCGUGAUGGGGAUAGACUUUUGCAAUUUUUGGUCUUCAACGAGGAAUUCCUAGUAAACGCAAGUCAUCAACUUGCAUUGAUUACGUCCCUGCCCUUUGUACACACCGCCCGUCGCACCUACCGAUUGAAUGGUCCGGUGAAGCCUCCGGAUUGGCGCGCACCUCGGUGCCGCCGAGAAGUUGGCUAAACCUUACCAUUUAGAGGAAGGUGAAGUCGUAACA